AUGGGACUGAGGACCGCGCCAGCCGGGACCCCGGAGACCGCCAGCCGCUUCCCCCUCCUCGCGCCCCGCGCCCCUGACCCCGGCGCCGCUGCGCCCCCGGCCCCGCUGCAUCCCCAGCCCCGCAGUCUCUGCCCCGCCCGGGUCGGCUCCGGAACGUCCCCCCCGGGCCACGGCCCGGGUGCUCACCGCGCGGCGCUGCUCCGGGCUCAGCUCGGUUUCCCGCCGUCCUCCAGGAGCGCUCGGGUCGGGUCGGAGCCCCGGUGGCCGCUAGUCUCCACGGCGUUGCGGGAUCGGCGUCGGUGCCCGCGCCCCAAGCCAGCCGAGCCAACUUUCCGGCUGCGACGCAGGGCGAGGGCGGCGGCGGAGGGGCGGGCGCGGGGCGGGAGCGCGGGGGUGGGAGCAGCAGCCGAGGGUCCCCGCCCGCCCCGCGCGCAGCCUCCCCGAGAACUUCGGUUCUGCCCACCCUGCGCGGUAAGCCCCGCAGAGCGACUCGGACCCGCUAGCGGACCCCGUCCGGCCACAAGCAGACUCGGAGCCCUGACUUCCGCCCCGCGGUCCCUCGCCGCACAGAACUUGGUCCCCUGGAUCCUGGUCCGGCAGACCCCUGACCCCACGGACCCCGGCACGGCAGGUGGCGAUCACGGCGGGUCCUGGCUCCCCGCGGUGACACCCCAGGUGUGGAGGAGCGCGGCGGGGCGUGGGGGCCGUGGCUCAGCGCCCGGUCCUCUCGCUCCCUCCGCAUCCCUGGGCGGGGCACCUCCUUGCGCCCUUCCUCCAGUGUUCCUGGGUUCUCGCCGCUUCUUUCCUGCUGCCUUCCUGAUUUUCUGGAUGAACCCACACCCGCACUCGCCCCCACCGUGCCUCUUUGCAGAGCAGAUGGGGGCUGGAGUGGGGGCCGACAUGGGUGGACCGGCGGGGCGGUCCCUAGGGUGCCCUUUAACUCUUUCUGUGCCACAUCCCCGGUCUCCAGCCAGUUCUGUCGCGCUGAGGCUCCUCCAGCACCGCUCAUACGUGACAGCGCGCGGACCCUGGGCCGCAACCUGCUGGUCCUGCGGCCGCAGGGCGCUCUCCCCUCCCUCCCGCACCACCUCCUUUCCUAGGAGCCGAGAAGCCCCAGCCAGAAUCCCUACCUUCCCCAAGAGGCGCGCUCAGGGAACACUCUCCCCUCCCUCACUCCCCCUAAAGCCUACAUCACACCUGGCUUUGGCGCCACCAGAACCUCAGCCCCCGCUCCUCCCCUUCCAACCCCAGCAGUCCUUGCUCUGUGCUUAG
rnacentral:lncRNA from 1 species